GAGCUCCUUUGGUAGCCUCCCCGACCUCCUCUUCUUCCAGAAAAUGGAGCACCCCCAUUAUUGUUGCCGCUAAUCAUUCCUAUCCGGCCAGAUUUUCCAUCCGACCGGCCAGCCUUGCUCCCACCGACCACCAUCCAUUCUGGACCUUCAUCAACCUCCAUGGAGGUCUCCCCCAUAGCCUGCAAAACAAUAGGUGUUGGA
rnacentral:lncRNA from 1 species